rnacentral:lncRNA from 1 species
UCCUCUCUAGUCUCCCUCCACUCUUCCCUGCUGGGGUCUGUGCAAUAGGACCCAGGAAGGGCUCAGCUGUUUGCAUUGCCAAACAGAGCCCUGGAUUCCAAAGCAGGCAGUCUGUGGUCCCAUUUGGAGAAACACUGAUCCUGCCUGGCUCACUGGUUUUAGUGCAUGCAGGCUACUGAGCACAUUGGGCCAAAGGACAUGUACACCGAAAAAUUGUCAGAGGUUGUGGAAUUUCCUCAUAUCAAUGUGCACCCCUGCAAUGAGGAAUAGAGUGGAAGUAGAGGAGGAGGGCAGGGCAGCAGGUCAGUGAAGAAUCAAGCAUCAGAAGGCGAGAUGCCAGUGGAGUACGAUCGGCCCCAACCAGGUCCAGGGUGUGGACACAGCAGGAAGUUGCUGGUGUGGGGUGGAGGAGAGGCGAAGGUCAAUGAGCACAGGACGUCCGGGAACUGUGAGAAGAAUGAGUCACCGAGAUGAUGAGGCAGCCAGUCCUUCCUGGUGGGUUCGUCAUUAUCUUCACUCGUGAAAUACGGCUGUGGUAGCUUUCACUUCUCUUUCAAACUAUCAGGAGAAGAACGAGACGCCUCUCGGUCCUCUUUCUACUCUAUGGACACUUGAGUUCACUCAGGAGGAAGCACAUCGAUCAACAUGGACACCUCAGGGAACAAGCAAUGAUGUUCUCACUUUUUGUGAUGGCGUCUGGGGCAGUGAGACAGGCAGGGCUGUUUUUUCAGCUCCUUCGGCUUCAAUGAAUAUCAAUUAGGG